GAUAUGAACUCUCCGAAAAAAUUACGCUGUUAUCCCUAAGGUAAGUUAAUCUUAUAAUCAAAAAUUUUGGAUCAAAAAAACAUAAAUUAAUGAAAAAAAUAUUAAAAGUUAAAUAAAUUUCAAUGUCACCCCAACAAAACUUUAUAUUCUAAAAAAUUAUUUAAUUAACAAAAAAUAAAAAUUAAUAAAUAAAGUUAACUUCUAUAGGGUCUUCUCGUCCUAUAAAUAAAUUUUAGCUUUUUAACUAAAAAAUUAAAUUCAAAACAAUUAAAAAAAGAAAGUUUAUUUUUCAUCAAACCAUUCAUACUAGCCUUCAAUUAAAAGACAAAUGAUUAUGCUACCUUCGUACAGUUAAAAUACCGCAGCCUUUUAAUUCAAAAAAAUCAAUGGGCAGGCCUGAUCUUAAAUUAAAAUCAAAAGAAC
rnacentral:rRNA from 1 species